CCUCUAACGAUACAUGCAAGCCAUUAGCAACACAGUGAGUAAUCAAUUACUAUAACUACCCUAAAAAGACACAGUUAUAAAUAAAGGUAUCAGAAAAUUCUUCCCAAAUUCAAAGACACCUAGCCACCCACAUCUGCAGUACCUAGCAUUAUACAAUAAGCAAAAGCUUGAUAUAGUUAUAGACUUAAGAGUUGGUAAAUUAUGUGCCAGCCACCGCGGUUAUACAUAAAACUCAAGCCAAGAAAAUUAUCGGUACAAAAGUGACUAAAGUAAGCCUAACUUUAAGGUAAAAAAUAACUCUAGUAUUAACAAGCUUUCACAGUAAACUAAUCACAAUUGUAAUAUAACCUUAACCACCACCUUAACUUGAAACACCAAAGCUCAAAAAUAAACUGGGAUUAGAUACCCCACUAUAUGAGCCUUAAAAAACCAAAAACACCAGAGAACUACGAAUUAAAGUUUAAAACUCAAAGGACUUGGCGGUUUUUUAGAUCUUCCUGGAGGAGCUUGCUAUCUAACCGAUAACCCACGAAAAACCUUUACCAGCA
rnacentral:rRNA from 1 species